rnacentral:rRNA from 1 species
AUGAACGCUAGCUACAGGCUUAACACAUGCAAGUCGAGGGGCAGCGGGAUUGAAGCUUGCUUCAAUUGCCGGCGACCGGCGCACGGGUGAGUAACGCGUAUCCAACCUUCCGCUUACUCGGGGAUAGCCUUUCGAAAGAAAGAUUAAUACCCGAUGGUAUCUUAAGCACGCAUGAGAUUAAGAUUAAAGAUUUAUCGGUAAGCGAUGGGGAUGCGUUCCAUUAGGCAGUUGGCGGGGUAACGGCCCACCAAACCUACGAUGGAUAGGGGUUCUGAGAGGAAGGUCCCCCACAUUGGAACUGAGACACGGUCCAAACUCCUACGGGAGGCAGCAGUGAGGAAUAUUGGUCAAUGGGCGAGAGCCUGAACCAGCCAAGUAGCGUGAAGGAUGACGGCCCUACGGGUUGUAAACUUCUUUUGUGCGGGAAUAAAGGAGCCUACGUGUAGGCUUUUGCAUGUACCGUAACGAAUAAGCAUCGGCUAACUCCGUGCCAGCAGCCGCGGUAAUACGGAGGAUGCGAGCGUUAUCCGGAUUUAUUGGGUUUAAAGGGAGCGUAGACGGGUUUUUAAGUCAGCUGUGAAAGUUUGGGGCUCAACCUUAAAAUUGCAGUUGAAACUGGAGACCUUGAGUACGGUUGAGGCAGGCGGAAUUCGUGGUGUAGCGGUGAAAUGCUUAGAUAUCACGAAGAACCCCGAUUGCGAAGGCAGCCUGCUAAGCCGCCACUGACGUUGAGGCUCGAAAGUGCGGGUAUCAAACAGGAUUAGAUACCCUGGUAGUCCGCACGGUAAACGAUGGAUACUCGCUGUUGGCGAUAGACGGUCAGCGGCCAAGCGAAAGCGUUAAGUAUCCCACCUGGGGAGUACGCCGGCAACGGUGAAACUCAAAGGAAUUGACGGGGGCCCGCACAAGCGGUGGAGCAUGUGGUUUAAUUCGAAGCAACGCGAAGAACCUUACCAGGUCUUGACAUCCUACUAACGAGAUAGAGAUAUGUUAGGUGCCCUUCGGGGAAAGUAGAGACAGGUGGUGCAUGGUUGUCGUCAGCUCGUGCCGUGAGGUGUCGGCUUAAGUGCCAUAACGAGCGCAACCCUUGCUGCCAGUUACUAACAGGUCAUGCUGAGGACUCUGGCAGGACUGCCAUCGUAAGAUGCGAGGAAGGUGGGGAUGACGUCAAAUCAGCACGGCCCUUACGUCCGGGGCUACACACGUGUUACAAUGGGGAGUACAGAGGGCAGCUACCGGGCGACCGGAUGCGAAUCCCGAAAGCUCCUCUCAGUUCGGACUGGAGUCUGCAACCCGACUCCACGAAGCUGGAUUCGCUAGUAAUCGCGCAUCAGCCACGGCGCGGUGAAUACGUUCCCGGGCCUUGUACACACCGCCCGUCAAGCCAUGAAAGCCGGGGGUACCUGAAGUACGUAACCGCGAGGAUCGUCCUAGGGUAAAACCGGUAAUUGGGGCU